UGCGGAGGGAUCAUUACUGAGUUUACAACUCCCAAACCCCUGUGAACAUACCUAUGUUGCUUCGGCGGGCCGUCCCGCGGCGCGCCCACGUGGCGUGACCCGGACCCAGGCGCCCGCCGGGGACCCAAACUCUUGCCUUUGUAGUGUCUCUUCUGAGUGGCAUAAGCAAAAAUAAACAAAACUUUCAGCAACGGAUCUCUUGGUUCUGGCAUCGAUGAAGAACGCAGCGAAAUGCGAUAAGUAAUGUGAAUUGCAGAAUUCAGUGAAUCAUCGAAUCUUUGAACGCACAUUGCGCCCGCCAGUAUUCUGGCGGGCAUGCCUGUCUGAGCGUCAUUUCAACCCUCAGCCCCCGUCCGCGGGGCGCUGGCGUUGGGGAUCGGCCGUCCUUCGCGGCGGCCGGCCCCGAAACACAGUGGCGGUCUCCUGCAGACUCCCCUGCGUAGUAGCACUACCUCGCAGAAGGGACGAGCGGGCUGGCCACGCCGUAAAACCCCCCACUUCUAAGGUUGACCUCAGAUCAGGUAGGAAUACCCGCUGAACUUAAGCA
rnacentral:rRNA from 1 species